UCGAAACCUGCUCAGCAGAACGACCAGCGAACAUGUUAAUUCAACGGGGGGUCCAAGGCGGGCUUUCGCCUGCACUGGCCCUUCAAAAGGCUUCUACAGAGGGAUUAGGGUGCGUAGGCUCGCCCUUUCCCCCGACUUCCCUCGGUAGCGGCCUGCUAACAAACCCCCGGCGCGGAAAGCGCCAAGGAAUUGCAAAUGAAAAGAACGGCCGCCCAUAUUACCCCGGAAACGGUGCGUAGUAAGGGAUGCGCCGUGAUUUGAGAAUCCAAACGACUCUCGGCAACGGAUAUCUCGGCUCUCGCAUCGAUGAAGAACGCAGCGAAAUGCGAUACUUGGUGUGAAUUGCAGGAUCCCGCGAACCAUCGAGUUUUUGAACGCAAGUUGCGCCCGAAGCCUUCCGGCCGAGGGCACGUCUGCCUGGGUGUCACUCAACCGUCGCCCCAACCUCCUCCUUCCGGAAGGGGUGUUAACCGGGCGGAAGAUGGCCUCCCGUUUGCUCUCCGCACGCGGUUGGCCCAAAUGUCCGGUCCCCGGCAUCGUCGCCGCGGCAAUCGGUGGUUGCACGACCCUCGCUAAGUGCCGUGAGUGAUUUGUUGCCGGUGUGACCUACGAGGCCCCAGAGCGUUUCGGAAGACACGCUCGCAACGCGACC
rnacentral:rRNA from 1 species